CCAAGGAGUCUAACAUGUUCGCAAGUCAUUGGGUUGUAAAACCCAAAGGCAUAAUGAAAGUGAAGAUCAGUUCUGCUGGUCGAGGUGGGAUCUCUCUUCAAGGGAGCGCACCACCGUCCCAUCGCAUUUGCUCGUCAAAGCGGUGGAGAAAGAGCGUACAUGUUGGGACCCGAAAGAUGGUGAACUAUGCCUGAGCAGGAUGAAGCCAGAGGAAACUCUGGUGGAGGUCCGUAGCGGUUCUGACGUGCAAAUCGAUCGUCAGACUUGGGUAUAGGGGCGAAAGACUAAUCGAACCAUCUAGUAGCUGGUUCCCUCCGAAGUUUCCCUCAGGAUAGCUGGCACUUUUACGCAGUUUUACCCGGUAAAGCGAAUGAUUAGAGGCCUUGGGGACGAAACGACCUCAACCUAUUCUCAAACUUUAAAUGGGUAAGAAGUCUCGCUUGCCUGACCGAAGCUCAGACGUUGAAUGCGAGUGCCGAGUGGGCCAUUUUU
rnacentral:rRNA from 1 species